GAGCCCAUGCCAUGUUUAAAUGAUAAAGUAGCUUGAUAUAGUGUUUAAGGACGCUCCUCUUUCCGGCUUUUAUCUUUCAUCUCAGCAAGUUCAGUCGUUCCACCCCUGCGUUUUCCAGUUGGUAGAGUCGGAAGAGGUCGACUCCUCCCAGGUUAGCGCAGGGGCUUGCCGGGAGGCCAACUUGCAAGAAGCCCUGGGAACUCUCCAGAAGAGUCAACUGUGAAGAUCCCGGAGUGUACGGGGUGAUUCUUCGCCGAGUGCAGGUGCUGCAGCUGACGUUCGGCGCUUCCUGCUCAGCGCCGAAGUUGCCGCGCUACCUGAUAGGAACAUGCGGUACCUCUCAGAAAUGUGAGACAGAAGAAACGUUGAAGACCUUUGCACUGUGCUCCGGGCCUCCGAGGUUAUAUAUGAUGUGAUUAUUGGCCUGGGGGCCGUGAAAAGGAAUACGUAGAUCCAAGCCUAAGUCCAUAAGCAGUGCUUCGCUUUACGAAAUAGAUGCAUUCUAGCAAAGGUGGUAUAGUUUUAGAGCCGGAACUGAACUCAUCUUUCCCGACUCCCACCCCGCCCUUUCCUUCAGUAAAUGCACCGGCAUUGGCACCGGAGUAAGAUAACGAUAGGACUAAGAGUCUGGAGCCAAAUCUGCUCGCGGAACAGGAGGCCCUUGCCUUCACUGGGUUUAGGGCCUGGAAAGGUUCCCUGUGCGCACGUGGGAAGCCAGGAACAAACUUCCACUCCCCCUUCACCUAACUGUAUUCCAGAAGUUUCCUCUGGAAGCCCUCCGCGGUAAUUUCCCGUUUGGCUAUUUCUCCCGGCGGACAUCAAACUCCUUGAGAGCAAGGACUGUGACCUUUUCUUGUAGCGGAAGCACCCAUCUACUGCCAGGCGCACAAAAGUGUUCUUGGAUGCAGAAGUCUGCCUGCAGUCUGUUAUGUAAAGGAGAGGAUCGCUAGACCAGUGACUUUCAUGCUUCUGUGGCUGUGACCAAUGUCUCAGGACAUUUUCCAGUUGCUUCUGCCACAACAAUCUCUGCCAUCUCAGUGCCUCCGAUGCCCCUUGUGAAUUCAGGAAGCUCUGCAGUGCCAGCAGGACUUCGCAAAAACCGGUUGCUAACUUGUCUUCUUUCUCUUCCAUCUUCAUCUUUAAAGAAAUCUCAAAGCUUGUGGGGCUAAAAGUUUAUUUCAGAGUAUGGCAAAUCUUUCAUGGUAAUAGAAAUGCAAAGAAGAGAGAUGUUGUCUGGAAGAAUAAACCAUCUGACUGGAGAGAAGGUCAAAAGUGGAAAUUAUAUAAGAGAGACCCCAUUGUCAUGGAUGGUUGGCUUACAGUGGGAAAGAAAUCAGAACUACAUGAUGGAUUCACUUGAGGUCAUUGAGAAUGGCUGACCUUGCUCUACUUCAGUCCAUGAAGCUGCCUGCUUGCACGUCAAUUUGCCAUCCAGGAACUAUCAGGAGGCAGAGGUCAUUAGGACAGGUGACUGGAUUUUCUCCAAUUGGUGCCCUCAAAUGUAUGCUAGUAAUAGUAAUAAUCAUCGCAAAUAUACAUAGGUCACAGGGAAAGUUAAUCAAUUAGCCAGUGUCCAUACAUAAUUAUCCAGUUAAGAGACUGGAUCCUGUGUUGAUCCUUCUGUUUUCUACACAAUGCUUCAUCUUCAUGCAUUUAAGUGGUGGCUGCUGUCCAAGUUAAGGAUUUUUGCAAUAUCAAAUGUCUGUAGAUCCUGGUAGAGAGAUUAAUUGUAUGUGGCCAAUGCUAACCUUGAACUUAAAAUAUUUUUAAUGGUAUCAUUUUUUAAAGCACAGUGCUUCUAAGACCUUUAGAGUCAGACAGACCUGGAGUUGAUUCUUGGCUCUACCAUUAGCUAUGGUAUUAUUAACUGUGAGACCAUGGGGGAAAUUAGCAGUACCUAGCCUCCCUGAACCUCGGUUUCCUCAUCUCUAAAACAGGUAUAAUAAUACUCACCUCAUAAUGAGGAUUAAAAUGAGGUAAUGCAUGUAAGACCUAGUAGAUUUCCUGGACGAUAGUUAGCAGUCAAUAAAUUAUUUUUGAAGAAGCUAUAGGCCUUUAUAGUUUAAGACAAUCAUGUGUACGUGAGCAUUUCUGAUUCUAACACUAACCUGAGACAAUUAGGAAAAGUGUGCUAUUGUUUUUCAUGGAAGGGAAACUGAGCACAGGAAGGUGUGGUAAUCUCGGUAGAUAUGUCAUAUAUGUCCAUCAACUACUCAGAUAAGCGUGAAGUAUGCUCUGAAAUGCACAGACACUGAUUCCCAUUCCAGGGCUUUCUCUGCUGCAAUCUGAGAGGCACCAAGAGCUCUGAAUGAGUAGAGUUGAGAACAGAAUGACUAAUUCAUUAUUUUUUUACAAAUAUGAGCCCCUCUGUUGGGACAUACACAUCAGUAAUAGCUAACAGAGCCAGGAAUUACCUUAUUUAAUUCAUACAGCAAGCCUAGGAGGUAAAUAUCACUAUUACCCCCAUUUUACGGCUGAGACUGAGACUUAGAGCUAUUAAAUAACUUUCUUGACAGAUUUAAACUUGAGUCUGUCCAACUCCAGUGUCUGGGUUUUAACCAUAUACAAUUCUGCCUCCUGCCAAUCCCACUUUACAGAACACUGUUUUAAGAAGGGAGUAUUUUGGGACCUAUGAGGCCUAUAUGGUAACCAAUUAACCAUGCUUCAAACUACUGUCCUAGUGGUUCGGGCACCAUGACUCAAAAAUGUCUUUAACUUCUGAAGCAGAGGUUGGGAAUACUGUUGUUCCUUCAUUUGAGGAACAGCAUUGACUCUGAAAAAGGUUUAUAUGGUCAAAUAUUUGAAGGUAAAUUCUUCCUUGGAUCUUCAUAAUAUAUUUUGCAUAACGAAGGCUCUGAGAAAUACUAUGGUUUAAAAAAUGUUUAAUUGUGUUAAACCUGAUUUCUGAACUUAUCUGACCACAGAACCCUUCCUUUUAGUUAGAAUCACUAAGAACCAGUUGAAAGCCAUUUAGGUUUAUUUAAAUAAUAAUCCUGGCCAAAUUUAUGCAGCACUUAGUAGAGCCCAGACACAGAGGCAGAUAUUUUGAGAAUAACCUUUGGAGGGAAAUGUUUUUAUUAAACAGCUUUCCCCACGAUUACCAACUAGUAACUCAAGGUGUCUCUAUGCAGAGCCUGUGCUCUCACAGCUGCCAUGGAAGAGCUGAUUCAGCACGUCAUACUCAACGAUAUGUCAUACCUUUUUCUAAUUUGAAUAUGGACUAAGUGUGCUAUACCAAAUUCCCAUUUUGAUUAAAUUGACCCUCCUACCAAGGGGGGAAAACCUGGCGAAACCACCUCUCUGAAUCAGAUACUCAAUGUAAUCAAAUUGGUCUAUCUGAUAUUAAUAACUACAUUUUCUCCCCAUAGGGCUGUUUAAUUCUUAAAAUACUUGAUCCAGGUAUAGACAUCUACUCAUAUUUUGUGUCAGACACAGGGGUAACAUCCUCUUUUCACCAUAUCUCUUCUCAGGUAAUAAUCGCUUCAGUUUUCCUCCAGAACUAAUGUAUCGAGAUCAGACAGGUAAGAAUUCUCACUUAGAAACUGUCAGGUGAUCACCCAUCUCAAAUAGGAAAGAUGUUCUUUACUCCAGUAAGGAAAAGGCUCCAGCAUUUUCUUUCUUUUCUAUUCCGUGGUUUUCCUUUUUUUACUCUUCUUUCACUUUAUUUGGUUUCAAGUGGAGCAGGGGCCUGUGGAAUGACAAAGUUCGGGACUCCUCACUUAAUGGAAGACCAGCCUAGAAGAAGGCCCAGGAGAAAAGUCAAUGGCCCAAAAGGUGCGGAAAGUCCAGAGGGAGCUUCAAGGACUGCUCUUGCCUUCUUUUUCUUUUGAUCCUUUCUCCCCAUAGAGUGGCUUUUUUUUUUUAAAGCACACUUUUCCAAGUUGUUACAUUAACAAAUUUGCACUGAUUUCUUUAUCCUUGUCAUCUAAAGACCACCUUGUCGGCGGAGGGUGAACUUUUCCUUCAUGCCAGGCCUGCUGCACUGUCUAAUGUCACAAGUGUCUGCUCACAUUAGCUCCCGGAGACUGGAGAAGAUUCCGCAUGGGGCCUUUCCGGCAAGUUGAUUUGACAGAAUGAGUCCCCAUGCUAGCUCAUGGCACUUAUCAGUUAGUCAGUCUUCCUCGGGGAGGAGAAUUUAGAGUGCACCAUAUUCAGUUUCCAAAUCAACUGCUGUCCCCUCAGGAAGCCGAGUGUUGCAUUAUUAAAAGAGAUGCCUUCAACCACGGCACCAUACUUAAACAUUCAUCCACAUUAAAAAAAAAAAAUUGGAGUGGAGGGGCCAACACAACAAUGCCACACACCCUUUGCUGUGUUAACUCUUUCCACCCAGGCUUCAGGUCUCCCUCAAUGAGCAGCCCUGUCACUUUUAUUGGUGAGCGUGAACACUUGUUAUUUUGUGUGUCUUAGCUUUAUUUAAAAAGGAGUGCUUUUGCAUUACUUGGGAUGGCUAUGAAAUAGUCCCCCAAGUUGUAAGAUCUCAGGGCUAAGAUUUACCGUGUUGCUGACCUCUCCUUUUCACUGAGCUCCCACAGCAAAAUUAAAUCCAAAAAUCUAGCUGCCAGAAACAGCGCUGGCUUUGAUUUGUCUGUUACGUGCUUCUCCCAGGAGUUGAAAUGUAAUGCACGAAUUAGUUCUGAGUUGAAAAUUAACAGAUCUGAAGCUCACACUUUAGUAAUUAUAACUUCAGCUAUUUCUAUUUUUUAAAAAAAUAAAAUUUAUGUCCAGAUUACCUUUAUCUUUCCAAACAAAAAAUUGCCAAGAUUUCUAGAGAAAAGGAGGGAUCUUUUUUAAAGCUGCAUGUUGAUAUAAAUAUGAAAAUGGAUUAAACUCUGCUUCCAAUUUCCAAACAUGUGUACUUCAAUGAAUAUUAAAUGGCAGGCCCCUAUCAGCAUCAUGACUUAUUUACUCACCAGAGUUUUUAUCGAAAAGGGCCUAGAAUUGCCUGUGGAGCGUGAAAGUCUCCUGUAAUUGAGUUUAGAGUGGUAAAUCCACUAAACAGGCCACGGCCCCAGAGACACCCCCGAAACCCACCUGUCAGCUGGUGUUAGAUCACAGCUCAAACAAGGCAUGGCUGCCUGCUCCUGCUAAACACUGCCGAGGCCCAAAACAAAAAAAAAGAGAAGUUGUUCCCCAGGGGGUGAAGGAGGGCUGGGGGCAAAUCGUGGGGGUUGGGAGGGCAGGCGAAAAACUCUCAUCUAACAGCUGCCUGAUGUCAGCUGGAAUCAUGAUCUGAAACUCAGCUUGGGAGGGGAACUGGCUAGGGCCUCAUUCGGUAAGGUGUCAUUUCUUUAUUCUAACAUUCUUUAGGUAGGAGCGUAAUGGAGUGGACAAGAAGCUUUUUCAUCAUGGUUGAGCCGUGGAAAUCAAAGCCCCGAGUUUCAGUGAGGAUAAAGAUACAACAGGCUUAAGACGGGUGCAGAAAGGUCCACAUCUAGAAAUAGAGGGGGAUGUCCAACUGAGGCAUGUUGGACCAGCCAGGGAGGGGGGUGGGGACAUUUUAAGCCAAAGAACCAUCAUUCAUCCAGUAAACAUUUAUUAAUUGUUGCCUAGUGCUCAUGACUGUAUGUGUUGCUGAGUGUAGAAAGAUAAAUAAGACAUAGUCCUUGCCCUGAAGGAAUUUAAAAUGUAGUUGGGGAAACAUAAAGAUAAGUCAACUAUUACAAUACAGUGUGUCAAGGGCUGUGAGAGCAAAAUAUAUGCUUAAAACAAUAAGUUAGGAAGGCUUCUUGGAGAAAGUGACGUUUAAGCUGGGUUUUUCAGAAUGAGUAGGAUUUAGUCAGGCAAAGGAGAAGAGUAGGGUGGGUGUGUGGAUGGUGGUAGGAAAGAAAAGCUCUUCCUAUACAGAGGAGAUAUACCAUGAAAAGGGAUUGUGUGGUACUCUUAUAAGGCUCCCAGAGGCUUAAUGUGGCUGGGGCAUAGGUGAUGGGUUAGAGCCUGGGAGGGAUGGCACUAGAGAGGGAGAGAGAGAGAAACCAAAUGAUCAAGGGUUUUGUCAGCCUGGAAAAUCAGUCUGAAGUUUAUCCUGAAAGCCACGGGGAGCAGUGGAAGGAUUUUAAGUAGGGGAGUGAUGUGAUCAGGUUUGCCUUUUAGAAAGACCAGUUUACCUGCUGUGCGUAGCAUAAAUUAGAAAAGGCAAGACUGGAAACAGGAAGGCCAAGCCGGAGGCAGUUAUAGGAGUCUUUGAGACAGAGUGAUGGCCUGAACCAGGGAAGUCGCCGUGAAGAUGGAGAGGAGGAGACAGAAUGAGAAAUAUUAUUGAAAAGAAUGAGCAGGACUUGGAAGGCAAUUGAAAAUGGGAAAAUAAAGAGGAAUUCAGGAUGCCUCCAAGGCUUCUGCCUUGGGUAUAGGGUUGCUAGGUUUAGCAAAUAAAAAUACAUGCGGUAUUUGGAACAUAUUGAUACUAAAAAAGGAUUCCCUGUUUAUCCGAAAUUCAAAUUUAACUGGGAAUCCUGUAUUUAAUCUGGCAAACCUACUUGGGUGUCUGGGUAAACGGUGGGUCAUUUGUCAAGCUGGGGGUUGGAGGAGGCACAGUUGUGGGACAGGAGGCCAAGAAGAUGAUGAGUUUACUUUUAUUUAUAUUGAGUUUGAGGGAUCUGAGGGAUAUAGCUGAUGUCCGAUUAUCCCCCAGUCCUUUUCUGCCCUUUUGUAAGGAUAGUUUUAGCUGACACAUGGCCACUCAGCUAAAGACUUUGCUUCCCAGCUUCCCUUGCAGAAAGUGCCAUGUGAUCAAACUCUAACCAAUGGGAUGUGAGAAGAAGUGAUGUGUAUUUUGCUUUUAAAAGGAUGGGGCAUGAACUCUCCUGACUUUUUUCUCCUUUCCAGUGGCUGAAAGAUAGUUAGGACAGAAGUAGCCACCUUGGGCCCAGAGAUGAAAAGCACAUGUUGAGGCCGGCAGUGCCAUCUAACUUGCCCUGGCCACCUACCUCUGAAUUGUGAUAUGAGAGAGAGAGAAGCUUAGCCUGGGCCAUAACUACAACACAACAUCUGAGAGGAAAUGUUCAGUAAGCGGGUGAACAUACAGGUCUGCGGCUUAGGAGAGAGACUUCAGGCUCUUCGCCACUCCCUGCUUGGAACUGGGCUCCACACCUUCUUUGAGAUACAGGAACAGAGCUGGUCUC